rnacentral:rRNA from 1 species
UACGGGGGGGGCAAGCGUUGUUCGGAAUUACUGGGCGUAAAGGGCGCGUAGGCGGCCUUCUAAGUCAGACGUGAAAUCCCCCGGCUUAACCUGGGAACUGCGUCUGAUACUGGGAGGCUUGAGUACGGGAGAGGGAUGUAGAAUUCCAGGUGUAGCGGUGAAAUGCGUAGAUAUCUGGAGGAAUACCGGUGGCGAAGGCGGCAUCCUGGACCAUUACUGACGCUGAGGCGCGAAAGCUAGGGGAGCAAACGGG